AAGGUUAACAGUAGGGAUGGUGGUCAUCACCAGUGAAGGUUAACAGUAGGGAUGGUGGUCAUCACCAGUGAAGGUUAACAGUAGGGAUGGUGGUCAUCACCAGUGAAGGUUAACAGUAGGGAUGGUGGUCAUUUUACUGUAUGCACCGUCGGUCAGUAAUAUACUGUUUGAUUUUGUUGGUGUUUAUUGUCUCAAUACAGAAGGCACCAAUACCUGAAAUGUACAGAACAGGAAUUAACACACAUAGGCUACACCAUCUCACACAUAUACUAGUACACAAACUCCAAUGACUAUACACUUGGAACAGUACAUCCAUCAUCAGUGAAAGUAAGUAGUAGAGACAGUGGCCAUCAUCAGUGAAAGUAAGUAGUAGAGACAGUGGCCAUCAUCAGUGAAAUUAUAAAGGAGGGAGGGUGGCCAUCAUCAAUGAAAUUUAAAAGGGGGGAGGGUGGCCAUCAUCAGUGAAAUUAAAAAGGAGGGAGGGUGGCCAUCAUCAAUGAAAGUAAACAGGAGGGAGGGUGGCCAUCAUCAAUGAAAGUAAACAGGAGGGAGGGUGGCCAUCAUCAAUGAAAGUAAACAGGAGGGAUGGUGGCCAUCAUCAAUGAAAGUAAACAGGAGGGAGGGUGGCCAUCAUCAAUGAAAGUAAACAGGAGGGAUGGUGGCCAUCAUCAAUGAAAGUAAACAGGAGGAGGGUGGCCAUCAUCAAUGAAAGUAAACAGGAGGAGGGUGGCCAUCAUCAA